rnacentral:rRNA from 1 species
UACGGGGGGGAGCAAGCGUUGUUCGGAUUUACUGGGCGUAAAGGGCGCGUAGGCGGUCAGCACAAGUCAGUUGUGAAAUCUCCGGGCUUAACUGGGAGGGGCCCUCUGAUACUGCCAGCCUUGAGAUGCCUAGAGGAGAGUGGAAUUCCCGGUGUAGCGGUGAAAUGCGUAGAUAUCUGGAGGAAUACCGGUGGCGAAGGCGGCAUCCUGGACCGGCAUUGACGCUGAAGCGCGAAAGCUAGGGGAGCAAACGGG